rnacentral:rRNA from 1 species
UACGGAGGGAGCUAGCGUUGUUCGGAAUUACUGGGCGUAAAGCGCACGUAGGCGGCGAUUCAAGUCAGAGGUGAAAGCCCGGGGCUCAACUCCGGAACUGCCUUUGAAACUAGAUUGCUAGAAUCUUGGAGAGGCGAGUGGAAUUCCGAGUGUAGAGGUGAAAUUCGUAGAUAUUCGGAAGAACACCAGUGGCGAAGGCGACUCGCUGGACAAGUAUUGACGGUGAGGUGCGAAAGCGUGGGGAGCAAACAGG